rnacentral:lncRNA from 1 species
UGCACAGCAUCCUCCAGCACCGCACCACGGUGCUGACCCCACUGUCCCCCAUUGUCCCCCCAUUGCCCCCCAUUUUCUCCCCCCCUGCCCCCCAACUCCGGGAGGGGGUUGACCCUAAUAUUCUGCCCCAUAUUCUGCCCCACAUCCUGCCCCCCAACCUAGGCCUGAACGUGCACAGCAUCCUCAAGCACCGCACCCUGGUGCUGACGCUGGCGGCCGUGGAGUUCCUGGAGCAGAAGCUGCUGUGGCACGACAGCCGCUACGCCGCCCUGCAGCCCUUCAGCAUGCCCCACAGCGACAUCCCAUAAUAAGCCCCCCCACCCCCCACCCCUCGACGGACCAUAAAAAAGGCAGAUUUGGGGUUUUUUGGGGUUUUUUCAUUGCCUUUUUUCUCCUCGUUCCGAGGUGUUGCGGCUCACGGUUGGGGGCUCUAUGGGAGGUGGUGGGAGGUCAGGGGGGACUUGGGGGGGGGCUUGCUAUGGGGCAGGAGGGGACGCUGUGGGGCAGGGGCGCCCCCAAAUCCCGGUUGCCUGCCCGCGUCCGACUGUUGCCAGCCUCUGACUGUUGCCCGCCUGCAUCUGACUGUUACUAGCCCAUGUCCGACUGUUGCCAGCCCAUGUCUGACUGUUGCCCGCCUGCAUCCGACUGUUGCCUGCCCAUGGCCUGCGUCCAGCUGUUGUUGUCCUCCCGCAUCCAGCUGUUGUUGUCCUCCCGCAUCCAGCUGUUGUCCUCCCGCAUCCAGCUGUUGUUGUCCUCCCGCAUCCAGCUGUUGUUGUCCUCCCA